CAAAAAAUUCUGCCGUUUUCAGAAAAAAUAGAAUCAUCUGCUUCUUCUCUAAAGAAAGCAACCAUGACCAUGGCUUUUUCUUAACAAAAAUCCACCAAUCUAUGGCCACAGAUCCCAAACAAGAAUCUCCAUGUUUAUUUUUAGAAGAAAGACAAUCGACUCCUAUAUCUCCAAAAUCCUUUAAGCUUCAACCCCCACUCCCCUCAAAAAUUCCAAUAGUGAUUUAGUCACUGAAGAAUAACAGCCCCCCACAAACACAUUAAAGAGAAGGGACGAAAUGGAAGGUAAAACAAAAAAAAAGAAGUGAAAAAGAAGAGAUAAAAUCGGAUAGAAAUUUGGAGGUCUUUGGACAAGAAAAGUGAAGAAAAAUCAAUUUCGUCUAGUUUCAAUUUUACUUCAAAGUCAAAGAUCCAAGAAAAAUCAGUUUUCUCCUUUUGGAUUUUUGUUCAAAAUGGAGUAAAGCCGAGUGGUUGUUCGAAUUUUGGUCGCUAACUUAGGUUUCGAUCGAGGUUGCAGUUCGUGUUGUUGUUCCUCCUCGUUCGGAUUUAAGGUUCAAAGCCCUGUAGCCGACUUCAUUUUUAUUAUCAAAAGGAAACUUGAAUUCUCAGGUUCAAUCUUAUCCCCUUUAUUUUAUGCUUUGGUUUUGGCGAUAAUAUGGUUUGAAUCUUGGCUAAAUUAGAUGAAUGAACUUUGAAUUCGGUUGGGCUUCAUUCCAUGACAAAAAUAGUGUUCAGAUUCCUCGUUUAAUUUGAAGCUCUUGUUUGAAUUUUCUUUAGCUUUCUUAGAGUUAUAUUAGUAAAAGAGUAGAUAAAUAUGGUGGAAUUCUUAUUAUUUGAAAAUUUGUCCUACUGUCAGAUGCUUUGAACAAUUUUACACUAUUUGAGCCAAAUCUAAUUUUUAAUCUUUCGUAGUGUCGAAAUAUUGUCCUUAUUAGUUGGGUUAGAAUAAUUGCCACAAGUCAGUUUAAUCCGUUUUGCUCGAACUUUAAUCCGUUUUGCUCGAGACAAGUCAGUUUUGGGGCUCGUGGUUGGGGAUAAAUGCAGUUUUCAUUCUCUUGUUUCAAUUGUGUGAUCCUUUAACGUUGGAUUUUAGACUUUAGUUUCGACAGAUUCAAGGCACUAUCUCGCGUUGCCAAUAUUCAAAAUGAGUCAUUUGAUUUUGAUAUAUGGUUUUCAAAAAUCUAAUCCACUGGAACGAACAUGUUUCGUCACUUUAGUGAUUUAUUUUGUGAAUUAAUUGACAUAUGGGAGAUAAUGUUAAGGAAUUGAAUAAUGUGUUAGACACUUGGUAUUUGAUUAUUUGAGGAAUUAACAUGGAUAGUUAAAAGGGAUUUAAAUGACUUCUGAAAACUUUGAUUCACUUUACCAUGCUCGUUACCUUUUCGAUUUGCGUAGUUUUAUUUCUUGCUAAAUGAUUCGGUGGUGCAUUUCAUGUAACCCGAUCAUAACAACUCCGAAUAAUAAAACCCUUUGAAAUAAUUUGAGGCGUGCCAUGCCAACUAAAAUCCCUAAGCCCAUGACCCUCACAAAACUAGUUAGAUUUUAUAGAAAAUUUGAGGUUUGCCAUUUUUAUUAAAUAGUCCAUGAUCCUCAUUCAAUUAGUUUUAACUCUUUCAAAAAUUGAGGUGUGCCAUCAAUUGAACUUUCCAUGGCUCUCGCAAACUUUGUCAUUAAUUUGAACUUUCGUAGUUGCUUUAGGCGUGCUAUUUAACUUGAUUUUCUUUUAUUAAAUUCGGGUGUGCAUUUCAUGUGACCCAAAUCCAAAUCUCAACAACGUUAAAUAAAAUAUGUCGCGGACCGCGGGUGCAUUUAUGUGAUGUGGUUCAAGACGUGUUUUGGAUGACGUUGAAUCUUUCCUAAAAAUAAUUAAAUAAAAGCGGUUUUAAAGUUGAAAUUACACCAUAGUCUAAAACAUAUACUAAAAUCAAGUAAAUAGGCCAAUAACAACAGUUGAGCGACCGUGCUAGAACCACGGAACUCGGGAAUGCCUAACACCUUCUCCCGAGUUAACAGAAUUUCUUACCCGGAUUUCUGUGUUCGCGGACUGUAAAACAGAGUCAAUCUUUCCUCGAUUUGGGAUUUAAAACCAGUGACUUGGGACACAAAAAAAUUAUCCCAAGUGGCGACUCUGAAUUUUAGAUAAAUAAUUCCGUUUCGAUUAUCACUUAAAUUGGAAAAAAACUCCCUUAUACUCCUUACGGGGGUGUAGGAAAAAGGAGGUGUGACAGCUCUGGCGAUUCUGCUAGGGAAAAGAACCCAGAAUCUCUGGUUCAAGGUUCAAGAAUUCGAGCUUAGAAUAAUUGUUAUAUUUGGCUUUAUUUAUUAUAUGAUUUAUUGCAUGUUUGAGCCUAAUGUGCUAAAUGCCGCUUGUUACCACUUUGAUAUUAUUUGAACUGUAUAUAAACUGUUACGAAACCCUUCUCUUCUCAUCUUCGGGGAUGUGCACGCUGGCGUGACUCCUCCUUCUGUUAGUAUCAUACCUUGAAAUAAGAAAGAGGCUCGGACAAGUUACAAAGCCGGAUGACCUUUUGGUUCCCAGUACGUAGCCCCCCAGCUCAAGUUGUCCGCUCGGGUACACAAGUUUAGAACAACAUACCCAGGUUUUGAACUUAGAAUAACUCAGCCUCAUACCAGAUCCCUAGUAGGAACGCUUGUUUACCUCAUGUGCAUUUGACUUUGGGGAUCCAACACAGGGGUUGGGUCCGUCUAGGACAAGUGUACCCAAAUUAAAAGUCCAUCCUGAUGCAUCUUACGUGCUACUUGCGUAUCUAUCUAUUUCGGCUUGCAUGUUGACUGGCUUCAAGAAUAGGGAAAGAAAAUUAAAAAAAGAGAAAAAAAGAAAAUCAAAAAAAAAGGAGAAAGAAGAAAAAUGAAAAGAGAGUGAGAGGUAGGUAUUUGAAUUACCCUGAAAUUCUGUUGAAAUUUUGAAAAAAAAAGAAAAGCCAUUUCAAAUUAAGUAAUAUUUUUCUGUUGCGUCAAAAUUGGCAAACUACGCAGGUCUGAUUCUCACCGGAUGUGAAAUACGUAGGCAAACCUCAUCGGUUCCGGCACAUAAUUUUCAAAAAAUCCAAA
rnacentral:lncRNA from 1 species